rnacentral:rRNA from 1 species
GACGAACGCUGGCGGCGUGCCUAAUACAUGCAAGUCGAGCGAAGUUUUUCUGGUGCUUGCACCGGAAAAACUUAGCGGCGAACGGGUGAGUAACACGUAAAGAACCUGCCUCAUAGACUGGGACAACUAUUGGAAACGAUAGCUAAUACCGGAUAAUAGCAUUAACUGCAUGGUUGAUGUUUAAAAGUUGGUUUUGCUAACACCAUGAGAUGGCUUUGCGGUGCAUUAGCUAGUUGGUGGGGUAAGGGCCUACCAAGGCGACGAUGCAUAGCCGACCUGAGAGGGUGAUCGGCCACACUGGGACUGAGACACGGCCCAGACUCCUACGAGAGGCAGCAGUAGGGAAUCUUCCGCAAUGGGCGAAAGCCUGACAGAGCAACGCCGCGUGAGUGAAGAAGAAUUUCGGUUCGUAAAGCUCUGUUGUUAGGGAAGAAUGAUUGUGUAGUAACUAUACACAGUAGAGACGGUACCUAACCAGAAAGCCACGGCUAACUACGUG